rnacentral:rRNA from 1 species
UACAGAGGGGGCAAGCGUUGUUCGGAAUUACUGGGCGUAAAGGGCGCGUAGGCGGCCUGUUAAGUCGAACGUGAAAUCCCUGGGCUCAACCCAGGAACUGCGUCCGAUACUGGCAGGCUUGAAUUCGGGAGAGGGAUGCGGAAUUCCAGGUGUAGCGGUGAAAUGCGUAGAUAUCUGGAGGAACACCGGUGGCGAAGGCGGCAUCCUGGACCGACAUCGACGCUGAGGCGCGAAAGCUAGGGGAGCAAACGGG